rnacentral:rRNA from 1 species
UACGGAGGGGGCUAGCGUUGUUCGGAAUUACUGGGCGUAAAGCGCACGUAGGCGGCUUUGUGAGUUAGAGGUGAAAGCCCGGAGCUCAACUCCGGAACUGCCUUUAAGACUGCAUCGCUUGAACGUCGGAGAGGUAAGUGGAAUUCCGAGUGUAGAGGUGAAAUUCGUAGAUAUUCGGAAGAACACCAGUGGCGAAGGCGACUUACUGGACGACUGUUGACGCUGAGGUGCGAAAGCGUGGGGAGCAAACAGG